GACAAUGAGCGCCGAGAUAGGGCAGCUCCUCUAUUAGGAUCGCACCGAAUUCCCCGUGUGAAAGGCACUUAGCUUUCGGCAUUGUUGCCGGGUUAACGAUUUUCGCUGCGCGGCGAUAUCAGCUUAUCGCGCAAUACACGGUUAAGCGAAAGAAUAGAUGCCGAUCGAGAGCCCAGCGAGGAACAAGCGAUAUAUAUUUCGGAUACGAAGAGAAGAUAGAAGAGUACCACCGAAGGCUCGCCGUUGCACUGUACGAAGAAAAGAAGAAGAGAGAGAGAGAGA